GACGAACGCUGGCGGCGUGCUUAACACAUGCAAGUCGAACGGAAAGGCCCCCACUUUUUUGGUGGGGGUGCUCGAGUGGCGAACGGGUGAGUAACACGUGGGUGAUCUGCCCUGUACUUCGGGAUAAGCUUGGGAAACUGGGUCUAAUACCGGAUAGGACCAUGGUUUAGUGUCUCAUGGUGGAAAAAUUAUUGUUUUGGUGCAGGAUGAGCUCGCGGCCUAUCAGCUUGUUGGUGGGGUAAUGGCCUACCAAGGCGUCGACGGGUAGCCGGCCUGAGAGGGUGGACGGCCACAUUGGGACUGAGAUACGGCCCAGACGACGACGGGAGGAAGCAGUGGGGAAGAUUGCACAAUGGGCGCAAGCCUGAUGCAGCGACGCCGCGUGGGGGAUGAAGGCCUUAGGGUUGUAAACUCCUUUAGUUAGGGACGAAGCAGCACCUUUUUUGGGUGUGGUGACGGUACCUUUGUUAAGAAGCACCGGCUAACUACGUG
rnacentral:rRNA from 1 species